ensembl:miRNA MIR592 microRNA 592
UGAUAUUAUGCUAUGACAUUGUGUCAAUAUGCGAUGAUGUGUUGUGAUGGCGCAGCGUCAUCACGUGGUGACGCAACAUCAUGACAUAAGACAUCA